GACGAACGCUGGCGGCGUGCCUAAUACAUGCAAGUAGGACGCAGUUGCGAACGGGUGAGUAACGCGUAGGUAACUGCCUAUUAGAGGGGGAUAACUAUUGGAAACGAUAGCUAAUACCGCAUACUAGUAGAUGGACCUGCGUUGUAUUAGCUAGUAGGUAGGGUAAUGGCCUACCUAGGCAACGAUACAUAGGCGAGCUGAGAGGGGGAUCUGCCCAACUGGGACUGAGACAAGGCCCAGACUCCUACGGGAGGCAGCAGUAGGGAAUCUUCGGAAAUGGGGGGAACCCUGACCGAGCAACGCCGGGGGAGUGAAGAAGGGUUUCGGAUCGUAAAGCUCUGUUGUUAAGGAAGCGGUACUUAACCAGAAAGGGACGGCUAACUACGUGCCAGCCGCCGCGGUAAUAC
rnacentral:rRNA from 1 species